rnacentral:rRNA from 1 species
UUAAGUUAUUAAGGGCGCACGGUGGAUGCCUUGGCACUAGAAGCCGAUGAAGGACGUUACUAACGACGAUAUGCUUUGGGGAGCUGUAAGUAAGCUUUGAUCCAGAGAUUUCCGAAUGGGGAAACCCAGCAUGAGUUAUGUCAUGUUAUCGAUAUGUGAAUACAUAGCAUAUCAGAAGGCACACCCGGAGAACUGAAACAUCUUAGUACCCGGAGGAAGAGAAAGAAAAUUCGAUUCCCUUAGUAGCGGCGAGCGAAACGGGAAGAGCCCAAACCAACAAGCUUGCUUGUUGGGGUUGUAGGACACUCUAUACGGAGUUACAAAGGACGACAUUAGACGAAUCAUCUGGAAAGAUGAAUCAAAGAAGGUAAUAAUCCUGUAGUCGAAAAUGUUGUCUCUCUUGAGUGGAUCCUGAGUACGACGGAGCACGUGAAAUUCCGUCGGAAUCUGGGAGGACCAUCUCCUAAGGCUAAAUACUCUCUAGUGACCGAUAGUGAACCAGUACCGUGAGGGAAAGGUGAAAAGCACCCCGGAAGGGGAGUGAAAUAGAACCUGAAACCGUGUGCUUACAAGUAGUCAGAGCCCGUUAAUGGGUGAUGGCGUGCCUUUUGUAGAAUGAACCGGCGAGUUACGAUUUGAUGCAAGGUUAAGCAGUAAAUGUGGAGCCGUAGCGAAAGCGAGUCUGAAUAGGGCGUUUAGUAUUUGGUCGUAGACCCGAAACCAGGUGAUCUACCCUUGGUCAGGUUGAAGUUCAGGUAACACUGAAUGGAGGACCGAACCGACUUACGUUGAAAAGUGAGCGGAUGAACUGAGGGUAGCGGAGAAAUUCCAAUCGAACCUGGAGAUAGCUGGUUCUCUCCGAAAUAGCUUUAGGGCUAGCCUCAAGUGAUGAUUAUUGGAGGUAGAGCACUGUUUGGACGAGGGGCCCCUCUCGGGUUACCGAAUUCAGACAAACUCCGAAUGCCAAUUAAUUUAACUUGGGAGUCAGAACAUGGGUGAUAAGGUCCGUGUUCGAAAGGGAAACAGCCCAGACCACCAGCUAAGGUCCCAAAAUAUAUGUUAAGUGGAAAAGGAUGUGGCGUUGCCCAGACAACUAGGAUGUUGGCUUAGAAGCAGCCAUCAUUUAAAGAGUGCGUAAUAGCUCACUAGUCGAGUGACACUGCGCCGAAAAUGUACCGGGGCUAAACAUAUUACCGAAGCUGUGGAUUGUCCUUUGGACAAUGGUAGGAGAGCGUUCUAAGGGCGUUGAAGCAUGAUCGUAAGGACAUGUGGAGCGCUUAGAAGUGAGAAUGCCGGUGUGAGUAGCGAAAGACGGGUGAGAAUCCCGUCCACCGAUUGACUAAGGUUUCCAGAGGAAGGCUCGUCCGCUCUGGGUUAGUCGGGUCCUAAGCUGAGGCCGACAGGCGUAGGCGAUGGAUAACAGGUUGAUAUUCCUGUACCACCUAUAAUCGUUUUAAUCGAUGGGGGGG